AGAACCCCUCAUUGUUACCAAGGGUGUGUCCUUUCUGCCUGUGCCCACCUCCCCUUGGCCUCUGCUCUCGGUUGAUGGGGUCCGCCCUCUUCUAGGAGCCCCCUGUUGCUGCGCAGACCACGCUGUACUGACGUUCAUUUGGCCCUGUUACGCCUUCUUGCCUCUCCUGCGAUGGAACUGCCUUGCUCCUUGAAAUCCUGCAACAACUCCCGGGGACCAGCCCGGGCUGCCUGCAGGUGACCAUCCACCAGAGUGCAUCGGGGUACCUGAAUUCUGUCUCUGGGCCCCGACUCCCAACCAUUUUCUCUCUGCCCAGCCUCGGGGCUCAGAAAAGAAGCCCUGACAAUGGAGUCAGGGAAGGCAGAGACCUCCUGCAGAUGCCCAUGCUCCAGUCAGGGUAGAGCUCUUUGCAUCUGAUUUACAAACUAUUUUCCCAGAACUGAAAAGUACCCCAUCAUGACUACGGCAGAGGACUGGCCAGUCCACCUGAGAAGGCGGCAACCCAUCCCCCACUGAGGAGCCACCUGAGUAAAAUCACUUCUGAACCUCAGCAUCUUGUCUCACGAUUUAACUCUCCUGCUGCGUGGGAUGAGCAGCCAGACCUGAAUCUACUCACGUUCCCAAGAUGCUAUCCUGUUCUAGGAGGGACUAAGUGAGUCCAAAGUCCCAAGAUAUAGACUCUUCCUCAAAAAGCAAACCAAGAGAAGUCAUCGCCCAGAGACUUCUGGAAGCACCUGGGACUUAGCAUCUUCACCUUCUGGACCUGGACUAAGUUCAGGAGACUGGCACAAGACCACAGUGACAAGUGCUUCACGAUGGUGUGGAGAGCUGACAAAGACCCCGCCUCAGGACGGAUAAUGUGUUUUGCUGACCGGAUCAAGCAUCUACUGUAGUGGUUGGAAUAAAAAUGGACCCACAGGCUCAUGUGUUCAAACACUUGGUCCCCAGGUGGUGGAGCUGUUUGGGAAGGAUUAGGAGGUGUGGCCUUGUUGGAGGAGGUGUGUCAUUGGGGUGGGCUUUGAUGUUUCAAAAAUCCACCCCAUUCUAGUUGGUUCUCUGCCUCAUGGUUGUUGUCUUAACAUGAAAGCUCUCAGCUACCACUCCAGUGUCAGUCUGCCUGCCUGUUGUCAAGCUUACCACCAUGAUUAUUAUGGACUACAAUGCUCUGAGAUGGUAAGCCCAAUAAACUCAC